UGUCACUCGAAAAGCAGAACUGUCUGAAUGGUUGGCUAAACGGGCUAAAACUCCCGAAACUAGCCAGUCUGCGAGACAGUUCCGUUUUUCAGCGACCUGA
rnacentral:pre_miRNA from 1 species